GACGAACGCUGGCGGCGUGCUUAACACAUGCAAGUCGAGGGUAGCAAUACACUGGCGCAAGGGUGCGUAACGCGUAGAUUAUCUGCCCCAUACACUAACAUAACGCUUGGAAACGGGUGCUAAUAUUAGAUGAGGUGCUUCGGCAUCAAAGUUUCGACGGUAUGGGAUGAGUCUGCGUCUGAUUAGCUAGUUGGUAGUGUAAUGGACUACCAAGGCGACGAUCAGUAGCUGGUCUGAGAGGACGAUCAGCCACACUGGAACUGAGACACGGUCCAGACUCCUACGGGAGGCAGCAGUGAGGAAUUUUGCGCAAUGGACGAAAGUCUGAUGGAGCGACACCGCGUGAAGGAUGAAGCCUUUAACUAGGUGUAAACUUCUGUUAUGAGGGACGAAAUUUUUGACGGUACCUCAUGAGAAAGCACCGGCUAAUUACUGUGCCAGCAGCCGCGGUAA
rnacentral:rRNA from 1 species